rnacentral:rRNA from 1 species
UAAAAACCCCGACUUCGGAAGGGGUGUAUUUAUUAGAUACAAAACCAAUGCCCUUCGGGGCUCUUUGGUGAUUCAUGAUAACUAUACGAAUCGCACGGCCUUGCGCCGGCGAUGGUUCAUUCAAAUUUCUUCCCUAUCAACUUUCGAUGUUUGGGUAUUGGCCAAACAUGGUUGCAACGGGUAACGGAGGGUUAGGGCUCGACCCCGGAGAAGGAGCCUGAGAAACGGCUACUACAUCCAAGGAAGGCAGCAGGCGCGCAAAUUACCCAAUCCCGACACGGGGAGGUAGUGACAAUAAAUACUGAUACAGGGCCCUUUCGGGCCUUGUAAUUGGAAUGAGUACAAUUUAAAUCCCUUAACGAGGAACAAUUGGAGGGCAAGUCUGGUGCCAGCAGCCGCGGUAAUUCCAGCUCCAAUAGCGUAUAUUAAAGUUGUUGUGGUUAAAAAGCUCGUAGUUGAACCUUGGGCCUGGCUGGCCGGUCCGCCUCACCGCGUGCACUGGUCCGGCCGGGCCUUUCCCUCUGUGGAACCCCAUACCCUUCACUGGCGGUGGCGGGGGAAACGGGACAUUUAGUU